AUUGAACGCUGGCGGCAGGCCUAACACAUGCAAGUCGAGCGGAUGAAGGGAGCUUGCUCCUGGAUUCAGCGGCGGACGGGUGAGUAAUGCCUAGGAAUCUGCCUGGUAGUGGGGGAUAACGUCCGGAAACGGGCGCUAAUACCGCAUACGUCCUGAGGGCGAAAUUGGGGGAUCUUCGGACCUCACGCUAUCAGAUUAGCCUAGGUCGGAUUAGCUAGUUGGUGGGGUAAAGGCCUACCAAGGCGACGAUCCGUAACUGGUCUGAGAGGAUGAUCAGUCACACUGGAACUGAGACACGGUCCAGACUCCUACGGGAGGCAGCAGUGGGGAAUAUUGGACAAUGGGCGAAAGCCUGAUCUAGCCAUGCCGCGUGUGUGAAGAAGGUCUUCUGAUGGUAAAGCACUUUAAGUUGGGAGGAAGGGAAGUAAGUUAAUACCUUGCUGUUUUGACGUUACCAACAGAAUAAGCACCGGCUAACUUCGUG
rnacentral:rRNA from 1 species